UGGCUCAGAACGAACGCUGGCGGCGUGGCUAAGACAUGCAAGUCGCACGGACCCGCAAGGGUUAGUGGCGAACGGGUGAGUAAUGAAUCGCUAACGUACCCCGGACUCUGAGAUAGCUGCCCGAAAGGGCAGGUAAUACCAGAUGAUAUAACCGACAGGCAUCUGUUGGUUCUCAAAGGUCCGCCGGUCUGGGAGCGGGCGAUUUCGUAUCAGCUUGUUGGUGAGGUAACGGCUCACCAAGGCGGGGAAGAGUAGCCGGACUGAGAGGUUGGCCGACCACAUCGGGAUUUCCUCACUGCCCAGAACUACGGGAGGCU
rnacentral:rRNA from 1 species